GUAGGCCCCUCACGUGGCGCCACCUGACUGAACUCCCCCAGAGCCUGCCGGCAGCAAGGGUAGGUCGGCUCUGGCGGGUACGUGAGGGGUUCUCCGC
rnacentral:SRP_RNA from 3 species